UUGUUUGCAAAUGUGGCAUCAUCAAGAUUCACAUGCAACGUACAUAUAUAUUUAUAUAUAUUAUAUGGUUUUGGCCUGAGAAUCCUGAUGAUGCUGCAUUGGCAAUGAA
rnacentral:pre_miRNA from 1 species